rnacentral:rRNA from 1 species
UACAGAGGUCUCAAGCGUUGUUCGGAUUCAUUGGGCGUAAAGGGUGCGUAGGCGGCGCGGUAAGUCGGGUGUGAAAUCUCGGAGCUUAACUCCGAACUGCAUUCGAUACUGCCGUGCUUGAGGACUGGAGAGGAGACUGGAAUUUACGGUGUAGCGGUGAAAUGCGUAGAUAUCGUAAGGAAGACCAGUGGCGAAGCGGGUCUCUGGACAGCUCCUGACGCUGAGGCACGAAGGCCAGGGAGCAAACGGG